rnacentral:miRNA from 1 species
AUGAGAUUGAGAGGGAAGAUGAGAGGGGAGGAUGCGUGGGAGAAGUAACAAAAGUGAAAACAAAAGCUAUAAAAGCUGAAAUCUAAUUCAAAUUGUUUUCACUUUUAAGAUUUUGUUUUCAGUUUGUUACUCCUCCCUCCCAUCCUCCCCUCUUAUCCUCUCUUUCAAUCU